AUGUGUCGAGAAUGCGGCCCUAAAAGAAAAAAAAAAUUAUGCGUUGUUGAAUUCAAGUUGCUGAUGUUUUGUCUAGAGACUUUCAUCUGUAUUUAUAGUAGGAAUUCUCACACAUUUUAUGGUCUCUUUCCUUCUCAUUUCUUUGGGUUUAUUUUAUUGUUCGCUCGUGCCUGUAGCCCAUUGAUUUUGGAGCUUUUUUUCCCACGGAGCUGCCGCCUGCAGGUUCUGUCGAGAUGGUUGCUCUGGGUGUGCAGAGGCGGAGGCAGGGGAGUGGGGUGGUUAGACUCGGCUCGCUUUGUUGUGAUCGGUGUGCUCUUGGGUCCUGCUUACAUGACUAAAAGCGAUUGCGCGAGGGAGAGGACGGGCCAGGGGACAGUGCCUGUCAGGCACCGAGUGGACUGGGCAGCGCCCUUGGCGCAUUUGAGGUCCGAAGGGAGAAGGAAGAACAGAGAGCGACCGAGCAAGAGAAGGCGGUCCCGGCAAAGGGGGAGACCAAGCAGGACUGCCCGAGAGCCGAGCUGCUGAGAGAAGGGUCACCCAUGGCUGCCGACGAAGGCGCAGCAGACAAGCAGG
rnacentral:lncRNA from 1 species